GACUAUAUAGCAUAAAAGGUAAUGCGUCCGACUGCAACUCGGAGAAUGUUGGUUCGAUUCCAUCUUUAGUCUA
rnacentral:tRNA from 1 species